rnacentral:rRNA from 1 species
CCUACGGGGGGCAGCAGGGAGGGAUAUUGCACAAUGGGGGAAACCCUGAUGCAGCGACGCCGCGUGAGUGAAGAAGUAUUUCGGUAUGUAAAGCUCUAUCAGCAGGGAAGAAAAUGACAGUACCUGACCAAGAAGCGCCGGCUAACUACGUGCCAGCAGCCGCGGUAAUACGUAGGGGGCAGGCGGUAUCCGGAUUUACUGGGGGUAAAGGGAGCGUAGACGGUUAUGUAAGUCUGGAGGGAAAGCCCUGGGCCCAACCCCGGGACUGCUUUGGAAACUGUGUAACUGGAGUACAGGAGGGGCAGGCGGAAUGCCUGGUGUAGCGGUGAAAUGCGUAGAUAUCAGGAAGAACACCGGCGGCGAAGGCGGCCUGCUGGACUGCAACUGACGUUGAGGCUCGAAAGCGUGGGGAGCAAACAGGAUUAGAUACCCGUGUAGUC